rnacentral:rRNA from 1 species
GGCUUAGAGUUUGAUCAUGGCUCAGGAUAAACGCUGGCGGCGCACAUAAGACAUGCAAGUCGAACGAACUUAACCAUUAGUUUACUAUUGGAGCGGUUAGUGGCGGACUGGUAAGUAACACGUAAGCAACCUGCCCGUUAGAGGGGAACAACAGUUAGAAAUGACUGCUAAUACCGCAUAUGCCAUAGUGAGGACAUCCUCACAGUGGGAAAGGAGAAAUCCGCUGACAGAUGGGCUUGCGUCUGAUUAGCUAGUUGGUGUGGUAACGGCAUACCAAGGCAACGGUCAGUAGCCGGACUGAGAGGUUGAACGGCCACAUUGGGACUGAGAUACGGCCCAGACUCCUACGGGAGGCAGCAGUCGGGAAUAUUGCGCAAUGGAGGAAACUCUGACGCAGUGACGCCGCGUGCAGGAAGAAGGUUUUCGGAUUGUAAACUGCUUUAGACAGGGAAGAAAAAGGACAGUACCUGUAGAAUAAGCUCCGGCUAACUACGUGCCAGCAGCCGCGGUAAUACGUAGGGAGCAAGCGUUAUCCGGAUUUAUUGGGUGUAAAGGGUGCGUAGACGGGAAAUUAAGUUAGCUGUGAAAUCCCUCGGCUUAACUGAGGAACUGCAACUAAAACUGAUUUUCUUGAGUGCUGGAGAGGAAAGUGGAAUUCCUAGUGUAGCGGUGAAAUGCGUAGAUAUUAGGAGGAACACCAGUGGCGAAGCGACUUUCUGGACAGUAACUGACGUUGAGGCACGAAAGUGUGGGGAGCAAACAGGAUUAGAUACCCUGGNAGUCCANACCGUAAACGAUGGAUACUAGUGUAGGGGAUGAAUAAUCUUCUGUGCCGUCGCAACGCAGUAAGUAUUCUCACCUGGGGAGUA